ACUGUAAGGUGCAGGAGAGACAUUUCAGCAACUUGGAUGACUUAAUCUUUCAUCUCGAACAGUGUGUCCAGCCUCAGAAGCCAGGGGAGACCUCAAUGGGCAUGUCCUUCUCACCCAGGUUGGUCUGUAGGCAGGAGGGGUUGUUCCGGAGGGGAAGCCAUUUGGAAAGUAGGAUUUCAGGCUUAGCUCUGCCAGAUUUCUACCUUCAGGGCAGGCAAGAUCUGCCCUUUCCCCUCAUUAAAGAGGGAUCAGAUUGGCCAGGAAAGGCCGUGGCGUCUCAAGAACCUGGUGUUCAACCUGCUUCCUUGUCUUAUGUCCUUUCUGGGAUCACUGCUUCCCAGACAAAUUCCUCUGGCCUAUAGAUACAAAUCAUUAUCCAAAAGCUGUAUUUCUACUGAACAUGUUAUUGAUGCUGCAGAAGGAGGACCCAUUGCCAAUGAUAUCUGUAGAUGAUAACAGAGAAUGUUGAAGAUCUGCGAAGAGAAGUGACAGCACAUGAGAAAGUCUCCAGGGCCUCCCUCUGUCUGGCAUACUGGAAGGAAGGCUGAGAAGAGGCUGGUCACUUACUUACCAUCGCCUGGAUGAGGACAGGUAUUUGAUGGCAGAGCGCUCUUCGUUCUAGCAAAUGAACAGAAAAAAUGGUGGGUGGAAGCUAAAAGUAAGCAAACAGACAAAAAUAAAGAUGCGUUUUCUUAC
rnacentral:lncRNA from 1 species